UAGUCAGCCCAUGUUUGCUGUGUAAGCUUUGAUGUAAUUUGAUGAAAAUGGAUGAUGUGUUUGAUCAUCUCUAAGAAUACACCAGUUUUCUGUGGGAGCAGUGAUGGAUAGGAGUCUGUUUGUGCUUCUGUCAGGCCAAAAAAGAUUGCACAACGACAUAUCCAUUUUACUGCAGCAGUAGUGAAGGCAAAAGGGUGGUGUUGCAGAUGCAGUUGAAGCCUGUUGGACAGGUGAACAUGAAGGACCCUGUAAUUAGGGCCAACAUGUUAGCUAAGAUCAAUGAUAAAUUUGACAAACUUGGGUUUGGCAAUGCUGUCCAAAUACGGUGGCUCACAAGGCGGGAACCACAGAGGAAAAACAGUGAAAAUGACACUUGCACAUUCUUAGAUACUCUGUAGGGUUUUUUUCUUAUUUUGUAUAAAAUAAUCUAAUUGUAACAGAUUCUUAUAAUGCUGAGUUAUAACAUAUAAUGUGGGCACUUUAGGUUUAUCCAUAUAUUGCAUAUGGUUUUGAUAGAAAACACCUCUUGAAUUAAAAAAAGUAGUCAAACCUUUUUCUGUAUUCUGUAUCCUUAUUUUAAAAAAAAAGUAACUUUUAGAUCAACUUCAAAAAAAUGUGUUGAACUCUUCAACUCUUUAAAAUUAUUUAUUUUGAUCAACAUCAGCAUCAGAAGUAAUUUGAACUGAAAUGAAUUUUGUAAUUUUGCAGCCUUUGUCUUCUUGCUAGUAUGAAUGUGCAUGUAAUGAUUACCUUCUGUGGAAAGUAGCUGUUUAUUUUAACUGGAGUGGCAAACAUGAGGCAGAACUGGCCAAAAUGCUUGUUCUUUUUUCAAUAAUAAAAUGUACUUCUCUCUAUUUGCCAUGCAUGCACCUUUCAGACGUGCAUCAAUUGUUAUAUCAUAAGGGGGACACAGCUUUAACUUAAAAUAUCAAAUGUAUUUUAAAACAUUUUAUUAAAAUUCACUUGUAUGACCA